GCGUCAUUGUGCGGGAGCUCAACAUUCGUUGUAGCUGAGAUUUGGACACACACACACACACACAAAUAUGUUCGUGUAAAGGCCCAAGACCGUUGGAACCUGAUCGUGAUAAUUCACGCGAAGGGAACAAAGAUCACGGUAGA
rnacentral:ncRNA from 1 species